UCGAGAAUCUUCGGCAAUGAGCGCAAGCUUGACCGAGCGACGCCGCGUGCGGGAUGAAGGCCUUCGGGUUGUAAACCGCUUUGGUCCGAAAGAAAGGGUAAAACUUGAUCGAUCGGAGAAACAAGGACGGGCUAAGUUCGUGCCAGCAGCCGCGGUAAGACGAACCGUCCAAACGUUAUUCGGAAUCACUGGGCUUAAAGGGCGCGUAGGCGGCCGAGCGGGUCACGGGUGAAAUCCCCCAGCUUAACUGGGGAACUGCCCUUGAUACCACUGCGGCUCGAGGAAGGAAGGGGUCAUGGGAACUGUCGGUGGAGCGGUGAAAUGCGUUGAUAUCGACAGGAACGCCUGUGGCGAAAGCGCAUGACUGGUCCUUUUCUGACGCUGAGGCGCGAAAGCCAGGGGAGCAAACGGG
rnacentral:rRNA from 1 species